rnacentral:misc_RNA from 1 species
GAUGAGAACGUAGCGAAAUGCGAUAAGUAAUGUGAAUUGCAGAAUUCAGUGAAUCAUCGAAUCUUUGAACGCACAUUGCGCCCGUCAGUAUUCUGGCGGGCAUGCCUGUUCGAGCGUCAUUACGCCCCUCAAGUCCCCUGUGGACUUGGUGUUGGGGAUCGGCGAGGCUGGUUUUCCAGCACAGCCGUCCCUUAAAUUAAUUGGCGGUCUCGCCGUGGCCCUCCUCUGCGCAGUAGUAAAACACUCGCAACAGGAGCCCGGCGCGGUCCACUGCCGUAAAACCCCCCAACUUUUUAUAGUUGACCUCGAAUCAGGUAGGACUACCCGCUGAACUUAAGCAUAUCAAUAAGCGGGGA